AAAAAUUAAAUUUUAAAUAUUAAAGUAGUAAUAGUUAAGUUCUUGAAAUUUAAAAAAUUUGGCGGUAUUUUAGUCUAUUCAGAGGAACCUGUUUAGUAAUCGAUAGUCCACGUUGGACCUUACUUAGACUUGUAAAUUAGUUUAUAUAUCGUUGUUUAUAGAAUAUUUUAUAAAAAAAAUAAUUUUCAAUAUUUUUGAUUAAAUUAUAUAUCAGAUCAAGAUGUAGCUAAUGUUUAAGAUUAAAAUGGGUUACAAUUAUUUUAAAUAUUGAAUGUUGAUUUGAAAUAAUUUAUUGAAAUUGGAUUUGAUAGUAAAAUUAUAAAGAUAAAUAAUUUGAUUAUAGCUCUAAAAUAUG
rnacentral:rRNA from 2 species